rnacentral:rRNA from 1 species
AUUGAACGCUGGCGGCAUGCUUUACACAUGCAAGUCGAACGGUAACAGGGUGCUUGCACCGCUGACGAGUGGCGAACGGGUGAGUAAUGCGUCGGAACGUGCCGAGUAGUGGGGGAUAACGCAGCGAAAGUUGUGCUAAUACCGCAUACGUACUGAGGUAGAAAGUGGGGGACCUUCGGGCCUCACGCUAUUCGAGCGGCCGACGUCUGAUUAGCUAGUAGGUGAGGUAAAGGCUCACCUAGGCGACGAUCAGUAGCGGGUCUGAGAGGAUGAUCCGCCACACUGGGAAUGAGACACGUCCCAGACUCCUACGGGAGGCAGCAGUGGGGAAUUUUGGACAAUGGGCGAAAGCCUGAUCCAGCCAUGCCGCGUGUCUGAAGAAGGCCUUCGGGUUGUAAAGGACUUUUGUCGGGGAGGAAAUCCCCAGCGUUAAUACCGCUGGGGGAUGACAGUACCUGAAGAAUAAGCACCGGCUAACUACGUGCCAGCCGCCGCCGUAAAAC